rnacentral:rRNA from 1 species
GUGGGGAAUCUUCCGCAAUGGACGAAAGUCUGACGGAGCAACGCCGCGUGAGUGAAGAAGGUUUUCGGAUCGUAAAGCUCUUUCGUUAGGGACGAACGUGCUCUUUGUGAAUAAUGAGGAGUAAUGACGGUACCUAAAUAAGAAGCCACGGCUAACUACGUGCCAGCAGCCGCGGUAAUACGUAGGUGGCAAGCGUUGUCCGGAAUUAUUGGGCAUAAAGCGCGCGCAGGCGGGAUAUCAAGUCUGUCUUAAAAGUGCGAGGCUCAACCUCGUGAGGGGACAGAAACUGGUAUUCUUGAGUGUCGGAGAGGAAAGUGGAAUUCCAAGUGUAGCGGUGAAAUGCGUAGAGAUUUGGAAGAACACCAGUGGCGAAGGCGACUUUCUGGACGAUGUCUGACGCUGAGGCGCGAAAGCUAGGGGAGCGAACGGGAUUAGAUACCCUAGUAGUCC